UAAGAGGCUAUAUGGCUUGCAAAGCCUAAAAUAUUAACCCCCUGGUUCUUUACAGAGACGGUUUGUGAACCUUCAUGUAGAAUCUGAUCUACCAGCAAUAUAACUAAAUGCAUGGUCCAGCAAAGUGUGGUCCAUGGACCAGUUUGAUCCACAAACUGCUUGUUACUGGUUCACGACAAGAUGGAAACAUCUGGGGGCCCAUCAGGUGGGAGUGACAAGCAUGUCCUGAGAUUGCAAGUGACCUGGGAAGGUUGAUGAGCAAGCACAUUAAUAACGUCAUGCAAAUGGAUUUUAUAUGCAGAUGGAUGGGCCAGCCACAGUUCACUUAUCAGCUAAUACAGUUGUAAUGUGUUGCUUCAUAUCUGAGAGAAGGCAGCCGCCUUAGGAUAUUAAGUGGGUCUCACGUACUUACAUAAAUGAAUUCUCUUUUGAGGUAAAUGUAUUUUAAGUUGAUAAGUCAUCUUCUCUGAAUAGUAAGCCAACAACUUUCCUGGAAAUCUAGCAAAACAACAGUUCUAUGACCAGCCUUAUGUUUUGUUGCAUGUGUGCGUAAAAAAAAAAAAAAAAAUGCAGAUUGACUUUUUCCUUUUCUGUUUUAGAAUCAGUUCCAAACAGUAAAGCCUGCCAGAAAAAACAGACAAACUCUCAGGAACAACAAUGCCCAUUAUGUGUGGGGUAGAAGCUGCCAGACUUUGAUUACUGGCCAGACAUUAACCCCUUUGGUGUCUUAUGGGGGAAAUGCCAAGUCUGAAUCCAGACAUUUCCAGGGUUUUACAGUCACUUACGGUGUGAGACCAGGUGAUUUAUAAUGACUUGUGCAAAAAAGGACUAUUGGGAGAAGGAAGUACAAGUUAAAGGCCACAUCUCCUACUUCCUGAAUUCUGCUGUGACUCAUUCUGGCAAGUGAACACAGACUCGAUUACCUCUGCUUUUCCCCUUGAGGGUCUGACUGGUCGAGGGUGACAAGCACCCUGCUCUUGCCACCUGCCCCCCACCUGUGUUUCUGCCUUGAUGGCAGAAGGAGAUGGCAAAUUCGGCACUCACAGAGGAAAACUUUUGGGUUCCCUGAGGCCCCCACUUACAGUAAAGCUGCUAGAAAGAAGAAUCUCUGCAAAUUCUUUUGUGAUCAGUUUCUUCCCCUCUCAUAUACCCUGUAAGUCGACAGACUGUAAGUCGACAGAUUGUCUUGCAUUUUGAGAGCUCAUCUAAGCAGAGAGUAAUGCAAUUUAUAGUGGGAGGAUGAUAGUGUAUGUAUAUGUACUGUCAUAUGUUUGUAUAUACAGCAUGUGCCUAUGUACUGUAUAUAUGUGUGUACAUUUCAUUUGUUCUUUUACUGUCCUCUUCAAUAUACAUUUAUUGGUAGUCUACUGUGGGAGAGGCUGAGGAUAUCAAGUUCAUGAUAAUUAACUAUUAAUAUAAUUAUAGCUACCAUUUAUCAAGAGCUUAUUGCAUGUCUGCAGUGUGCUAAACAUUUUACAUACGUAUACUUUAAUUCACUUAAUCCUUUAAGAAAACUUCAUGAAAAUAGCCCCAUUUUAUAUCUUAAUAAACUGAGUCCCAGAAAACCCAAGGGCAUGCAGCUAGUUACCGUCAGAGCUAGAAUUCAUGCCCAGAGCUGUCUGAUGCAAACCCCAUUUCCUUACUCAUUUUGUAAAUUGUCUUUCCAAAGAUGAAUAAACAAAUAAAAAGGCAUUUACCUA